UACGUAGGGUGCGAGCGUUAAUCGGAAUUACUGGGCGUAAAGCGUGCGCAGGCGGUUCGUUGUGUCUGAUGUGAAAGCCCCGGGCUCAACUUGGGAACGGCAUUGGAAACUGGCGAGCUAGAGUGUGGCAGAGGGGGUGGAAUUCCGCGGUGUAGCAGUGAAAUGCGUAGAGAUGUGGAGGAACACCGAUGGCGGAAGGCAGCCCCCUGGGUCAAGAUUGACGCUCAUGCACGAAAGCGUGGGGAGCAAACAGG
rnacentral:rRNA from 1 species